UGCAGAAACCAUUUGAAGUUUUGUAUCUAGAAUCCCGUUCCUACAUAAAAUCUGACUAAUUGUUAAAAUAGUUCAGCUUAGCUUAUUGUUGAGUGGAUUGGGAGGGGUGGAAACAACAUUUUAGUGAUUUUAGUUUCUGAAAAUCAUAUUUUUGACUGUCAAUAACAGUUUGCACACCCUGGUUUAAAUAAUUCAUGUUUUCUCUGUUAUCCUCUGUUAUGUUAUCCUGUGAAUGAGGUUAAAACCUACAAGACCAUGAAUCGGGUGUGGAUGCAAUUUUUCUCCAAAACAAAAGUCUACUGCCUAAAAUAUGCAUCAGCAUUAGCAAAGAGAAAAAACUGAAGAAUAAAUAUGUUUUAAAUAAAAUACAGAAAUAUUAGCUUGGGUGUAUGACAUCACAAGAGAAACAAGGUGAAGUAUUUAAGCUUUAAUUUAGUUGCUUGUGGUAAUGUUUGCUUAAGAUCUUUGAUAAUAAAAUCUGGACCAACUUGUUUGUCAUGACCUCUUUUCCAAACAAAUGAGCUUUGUUAUUGUUGUGUUUUUCCCUCACAUGGGGAUAAAAUGUUUUUUUAAGCCAUUAAAUGAGGAUUUUCCUUAAAAUAUGUUAACAUAGAGGAGUAAACAAUAAUAAAAAAAGUGAAUUAGUGAAGUACAGAAAGAACAUAUGGGGAUCAUAAUGAAGCGGUUUCCAGCUUGAUCAGAUAAAACCCUAAAAUCUGGUCUUUUUCCUGCAACCCUCUUUGGUGAGGAGUGAGAUAAUAGGGAACAUAAUUUCCUACAUGGCUGCUUCUAUUAAGGCUUUGAGAGAGAGAGAGAGCAGGAAUUACAGAGGAAUAACAUGAAGGUGAAACGCAUAACAUCCAGGUAGCAAUUUAUCAACUUGUUGAUGUUACAAAUAUUUAACUGCAGGUGCAUCCUUUGCUACUAAUAGCCAAACAUAAACUAAACGAAUGUUAUUAUUGCAUAAUAGACAAUAAAAUGUUUAUUUUCUUAUUAAUACUGGUGACAAACUGUGUCUUCAGUAUGGUUGAAAAAAUUAAUCAUGAUUAAUGGAUACAUUAUGUGAUGUUCCCAUCAUGUGCAAGUGGAAGUUUGUUUUUUGGGAAAGUUUAUUUUAUCCAGGCUACAUCAGAGCUUGAAACAAAAUAAGAAAAUGAAUAGAAAAUUGUUAUUUUAAAGGGUUGAAACGAUUAAUUGUGAUUAAUCAAAUCCUGGAAUAGUUGUCAACUGAUUAAGUAAUCAAUUAAUUGCUAACUGGCCUGGUUAUUUUCUUAUGUAAAAAUUUUAAUGUUGGUUUUAAUGCAUUUCUAAUAAUGCAGUGGUUAAACAAAUUUUUAAAAUGUGAUUAAUCCAUUAAUUAGCUGAAUAGUUGAUUUGCUUAGUAAAAUAAACGUUAGUUGCAGCUCUAAUUUGAAGUGAGUUUGACUUUGGUCUGGCUUGUGGUUUCUAUAAUCUCCAAACAUUUCCUACGAGAGGGCAAAGAAGAGGCAGAAAGGACAUGCAGAAGAAGACAUGCAGAAAUCAGCAGCAGAAGAAAGACUCCUGAAGAAACACCGCUUGCUGCUAUGGCAACAUUACGUACUCCGGCGGCGAGUGCGCGCACGCCGGGCUUCGUGUCGAUUUGGACACACAGGCUGCAUUAGCCCGCAGCUGCUCAUGCUGCUGCAGCCUUCGGGGGGGGGAACGUUUAAAGGACGUGAUGCUGUUUCUCCGUGAAACGUCACUGCAGCAACAGGAAGGUUAAGAAAAGCCACCUGCUAGCUAGUUUAAAAAGGAGGGAUCUGUUACAGCCCAACUAGCAACACAACAACAGGUCACCUGAGCCCCGGCUCCUCUUCCCAGCUGGGAGGCCAUGUGACUCUGUGGGUCUCUGGGGCCUGGGCACCACACAUGAGACCGCCAGAGACCGGGGAAACGGCAACCCGGGUUAGUCCCACAUGGUAAAGAAAAGGAAAAAGAAGAAGAGGAAGAGGAGCAGCUUCCUGCUUACAGACCGGCUUUUUGAUACCAUGAGCUUCUUAGAGUGCAGCUAAGCUUAAAGGAGGCUGUGUCAUCUGAGACUGCCAUGAAUCCACACCACUCGCUCUGUCGCUAUGACAAGAGAGGCACCACGCCUCCGCUCUCCAUCUUUGUUAACACAACAAACAAAACACACACACACAAACACACACGGCAUCAUGCACAUGGCCAUCAGGCUCACUUUAAUCCAUCCAGGUUCUCAUCACUACCUGUGCUGCCACAAACCAAAAGGAGCAACGAGAGUUCAAAGAGAGAGAGAAAUGUUUUGGGAUGUUGUGUGUUAAAGGGCAGAGUAUCAUCAGACACUAAGCAGUAAUCACUUAACUUUAUUAAAUGGCUUGAAACUGA